UACGGAGGGAGCUAGCGUUGUUCGGAAUUACUGGGCGUAAAGCGCACGUAGGCGGCUUUGUAAGUUAGAGGUGAAAGCCCGGGGCUCAACCCCGGAAUUGCCUUUAAGACUGCAUCGCUUGAAUCCGGGAGAGGUGAGUGGAAUUCCGAGUGUAGAGGUGAAAUCGUAGAUAUUAGGAAGAACACCAGUGGCGAAGGCGGCUCACUGGCUGAACACUGACGCUAAAGCGCGAAAGCGUGGGGAGCAAACAGG
rnacentral:rRNA from 1 species